rnacentral:rRNA from 2 species
UGGCGAACUGGUGAGUAACACGUGGGAAACCUGCCCAGAAGCGGGGGAUAACACCUGGAAACAGAUGCUAAUACCGCAUAACAACUUGGACCGCAUGGUCCGAGCUUGAAAGAUGGCUUCGGCUAUCACUUUUGGAUGGUCCCGCGGCGUAUUAGCUAGAUGGUGGGGUAACGGCUCACCAUGGCAAUGAUACGUAGCCGACCUGAGAGGGUAAUCGGCCACAUUGGGACUGAGACACGGCCCAAACUCCUACGGGAGGCAGCAGUAGGGAAUCUUCCACAAUGGACGAAAGUCUGAUGGAGCAACGCCGCGUGAGUGAAGAAGGGUUUCGGCUCGUAAAACUCUGUUGUUAAAGAAGAACAUAUCUGAGAGUAACUGUUCAGGUAUUGACGGUAUUUAACCAGAAAGCCACGGCUAACUACGUGCCAGCAGCCGCGGUAAUACGUAGGUGGCAAGCGUUGUCCGGAUUUAUUGGGCGUAAAGCGAGCGCAGGCGGUUUUUUAAGUCUGAUGUGAAAGCCUUCGGCUCAACCGAAGAAGUGCAUCGGAAACUGGGAAACUUGAGUGCAGAAGAGGACAGUGGAACUCCAUGUGUAGCGGUGAAAUGCGUAGAUAUAUGGAAGAACACCAGUGGCGAAGGCGGCUGUCUGGUCUGUAACUGACGCUGAGGCUCGAAAGUAUGGGUAGCAAACAGGAUUAGAUACCCUGGUAGUCCAUACCGUAAACGAUGAAUGCUAAGUGUUGGAGGGUUUCCGCCCUUCAGUGCUGCAGCUAACGCAUUAAGCAUUCCGCCUGGGGAGUACGGCCGCAAGGCUGAAACUCAAAGGAAUUGACGGGGGCCCGCACAAGCGGUGGAGCAUGUGGUUUAAUUCGAAGCUACGCGAAGAACCUUACCAGGUCUUGACAUACUAU